UCAUUUUUUUGUGAAAGGUUUUUGUUGUUUUGGGAAAAAUGGGAAUUUUGAGUCCUUGAGACAAUGGUGGGAGGUUGGGAAGGCACAAAUAUGAGUAUUUUGUCAACAGUAUACUGCUCUGUCUCAAAUUGAAGUUAAAGAGACUAUCAAGGCCCUUGAACAGGACAUCAAAUCUAUUGAAUUGAAGCUGCUCACUCAGAACGACCCUGGACUAGUCAUGAACUUACAGGACAAGAGACAUGAACUGAGGUCGUUUCUGCAUGAAAGAGUGAAGGGUGCCUUGAUUAGGUCUCGUUUCGCUUCCCUCGAGGAUAUGGAUGCUCCUAGCGCUUUUAUUUUUAACCUAGGACAGUCGACAUUGCAACGUAAACAGAUGGUCUGCCUUCGUCUUCCUGAUGGGAAGGUGACCACUAGGACAGUCGACAUUACAACGUAAACAGAUGGUCUGCCUUCGUCUCCCUGAUGGGAAGGUGACCACUAGGACAGUCGACAUUACAACGUAAACAGAUGGUCUGCCUUCGUCUCCCUGAUGGGAAGGUGACCACUAGGACAGUCGACAUUACAACGUAAACAGAUGGUCUGCCUUCGUCUCCCUGAUGGGAAGGUGACCACUAGGACAGUCGACAUUACAACGUAAACAGAUGGUCUGCCUUCGUCUCCCUGAUGGGAAGGUGACCACUAGGACAGUCGACAUUACAACGUAAACAGAUGGUCUGCCUUCGUCUCCCUGAUGGGAAGGUGACCACUAGGACAGUCGACAUUACAACGUAAACAGAUGGUCUGCCUUCGUCUCCCUGAUGGGAAGGUGACCACUAGGACAGUCGACAUUACAACGUAAACAGAUGGUCUGCCUUCGUCUCCCUGAUGGGAAGGUGACCACUAGGACAGUCGACAUUGCAACGUAAACAGAUGGUCUGCCUUCGUCUCUCUGAUGGGAAGGUGACCACUAGGACAGUCGACAUUGCAACGUAAACAGAUGGUCUGCCUUCAUCUCCCUGAUUGGAAGGUGACCACUAGGACAGUCGACAUUGCAACGUAAACAGAUGGUCUGCCUUCGUCUCCCUGAUGGGAAGGUGACCACGGAUGACAGUCGACAUUGCAACGUAAACAGAUGGUCUGCCUUCGUCUCCCUGAUGGGAAGGUGACCACGGAUGACAGUCGACAUUGCAACGUAAACAGAUGGUCUGCCUUCGUCUACCUGAUGGGAAGGUGACCACGGAUGACAGUCGACAUUGCAACGUAAACAGAUGGUCUGCCUUCGUCUCCCUGAUGGGAAGGUGACCACGGAUGACAGUCGACAUUGCAACGUAAACAGAUGGUCUGCCUUCGUCUCCCUGAUGGGAAGGUGACCACGGAUGACAGUCGACAUUGCAACGUAAACAGAUGGUCUGCCUUCGUCUCCCUGAUGGGAAGGUGACCACGGAUGACAGUCGACAUUGCAACGUAAACAGAUGGUCUGCCUUCGUCUCCCUGAUGGGAAGGUGACCACGGAUGACAGUCGACAUUGCAACGUAAACAGAUGGUCUGCCUUCGUCUCCCUGAUGGGAAGGUGACCACGGAUGACAGUCGACAUUGCAACGUAAACAGAUGGUCUGCCUUCGUCUCCCUGAUGGGAAGGUGACCACGGAUGACAGUCGACAUUGCAACGUAAACAGAUGGUCUGCCUUCGUCUCCCUGAUGGGAAGGUGACCACGGAUGACAGUCGACAUUGCAACGUAAACAGAUGGUCUGCCUUCGUCUCCCUGAUGGGAAGGUGACCACGGAUGACAGUCGACAUUGCAACGUAAACAGAUGGUCUGCCUUCGUCUCCCUGAUGGGAAGGUGACCACGGAUGACAGUCGACAUUGCAACGUAAACAGAUGGUCUGCCUUCGUCUCCCUGAUGGGAAGGUGACCACGGAUGAUAUUGAAAUGCGUCAACAUGACCUGGAUUUCUACUCGUCCCUUUAUAAGGCGG